AAAAAGAUAAGCUAAUCAAGCUUUUAGGUUCAUACCCUGCAUAUAAAGGUAUAAAUCCUUUUCUUUUUA
rnacentral:tRNA from 2 species